UACGAACGGUCCAAACGUUAUUCGGAAUCACUGGGCUUAAAGCGUCCGUAGGCGGCUCGGAAAGUAGGGUGUGAAAUCCCACGGCUCAACCGUGGAAUUGCGCUCUAAACUAUCGAGCUAGAGGGAGAUAGAGGUGAGCGGAACUGAUGGUGGAGCGGUGAAAUGCGUUGAUAUCAUCAGGAACACCGGUGGCGAAGGCGGCAUCCUGGACCGGCAUUGACGCUGAGGCGCGAAAGCCAGGGGAGCAAACGGG
rnacentral:rRNA from 1 species